rfam:Anaerobium acetethylicum strain GluBS11 genome assembly, contig: Ga0116910_1014
UGUAAAAGCAACAAACUGCCGUAGACAGUAGGUGCCGUAAGGCAUAAGUUUGAAACGCCUACCGAGGAUAUGAUUUCUGAUAAGAAUGAAUUCUAAAUCCUCUUUGUCUUAGGAGCAAUCUGAAGAUAAAGAGGAUUUUUUUAAUCUUAG